rnacentral:rRNA from 1 species
GACGAACGCUGGCGGCGUGCUUAACACAUGCAAGUCGAACGGUGAAGCACCUUCCUUUUGGUGGGUGUGGAUGAGUGGCGAACGGGUGAGUCACACGUGAGUAACCUGCCCCCUUCUUCUGGAUAACCGCAUGAAAGUUUGGCUAAUACGGGAUAUUCUGGGUCUGUCGCAUGGCGGGCCUGGGAAAGAUAUUGUUUCGGUGGGGGAUGGGCUCGCGGUCUAUCAGCUUGUUGGUGGGGUGAUGGCCUACCAAGGCGGUGACGGGUAGCCGGCCUGAGAGGGUGGACGGUCACACUGGGACUGAGACACGGCCCAGACUCCUACGGGAGGCAGCAGGGGGGAAUAUUGCACAAUGGGCGCAAGCCUGAUGCAGCGACGCCGCGUGAGGGAUGGAGGCCGUCGGGUUGUAAACCUCUUUCGCCAGUGAAGCAGGCCUGUCCCUUUUGUGGGUGGGUUGACGGUAGCUGGAUAAGAAGCGCCGGCUAACUACGUG